rnacentral:tRNA from 1 species
GUGUCUGUAGACUAGUGGUAAAAGGCAGAACUCUGGUAUGUGUCUCAGCUCUCAUGCUGAGGUUGUGGGUUUGAAUCCUACCAGACACA